CCUACGGGAGGCAGCAGUGGGGAAUAUUGGACAAUGGGCGAAAGCCUGAUCCAGCCAUGCCGCGUGUGUGAAGAAGGCCUUCGGGUUGUAAAGCACUUUCAGUGGGGAAGAAAGCCUUGGGGCUAAUACCCUCGAGGAAGGACAUCACCCACAGAAGAAGCACCGGCUAACUCCGUGCCAGCAGCCGCGGUAAUACGGAGGGUGCGAGCGUUAAUCGGAAUUACUGGGCGUAAAGCGCGCGUAGGCGGUCUGAUAAGCCGGUUGUGAAAGCCCCGGGCUCAACCUGGGAACGGCAUCCGGAACUGUCAGGCUAGAGUGCAGGAGAGGAAGGUAGAAUUCCCGGUGUAGCGGUGAAAUGCGUAGAGAUCGGGAGGAAUACCAGUGGUGAAGGCGGCCUUCUGGACUGACACUGACGCUGAGGUGCGAAAGCGUGGGUAGCAAACAGGAUUAGAUACCCCAGUAGUC
rnacentral:rRNA from 1 species